rnacentral:rRNA from 1 species
GAUGAACGCUGGCGGCGUGCCUAAUACAUGCCAGUCGAGCGAACAGACGAGGAGCUUGCUCCUCUGACGUUAGCGGCGGACGGGUGAGUAACACGUGGAUAACCUACCUAUAAGACUGGGAUAACUUCGGGAAACCGGAGCUAAUACCGGAUAAUAUAUUGAACCGCAUGGUUCAAUAGUGAAAGACGGUUUUGCUGUCACUUAUAGAUGGAUCCGCGCCGCAUUAGCUAGUUGGUAAGGUAACGGCUUACCAAGGCAACGAUGCGUAGCCGACCUGAGAGGGUGAUCGGCCACACUGGAACUGAGACACGGUCCAGACUCCUACGGGAGGCAGCAGUAGGGAAUCUUCCGCAAUGGGCGAAAGCUUGACGGAGCAACGCCGCGUGAGUGAUGAAGGUCUUCGGAUCGUAAAACUCUGUUAUUAGGGAAGAACAAAUGUGUAAGUAACUAUGCACGUCUUGACGGUACCUAAUCAGAAAGCCACGGCUAACUACGU